rnacentral:rRNA from 1 species
GAUGAACGCUGGCGGCGUGCCUAACACAUGCAAGCCGAGCGAACGGACGAGAAUCUUGUUUCUCUGUUGUUAGCGGCGGACGGGUGAGUAACACGUGAAUAACCUACCUAUAAGACUCAGAUUACUUCUGGAAACCGGAGCUAAUACCUGAUAAUCUUUUGAACUGCAUGGUUCAAAAGUAGAAGACGGUCUUGCUGUCACUUAUAGAUGGUUCCGCGCUGGAUUAGCUAGUUGUUAAGGUAACGGCUUACCAAGGAAACGAUGCAUAGCCGACCGGGGAGGGUGAUCGGCCACACUGGAACUGAGACACGGUACAGACUCCUACGGGAGGCAGCAGUAGGGAAUCGUCCGCAAUGGGCGAAAGCCUGACGGAGCAACGACGCGUGAGUGAUGAAGGUCUUCGGAUCGUAAAACUCUGUUAUCAGGGAAGAACAUAUGUGUAAGUAACUGUGCACAUCUUGACGGUACCUAAUCAGAAAGGCACGGCUAACUAAGUG